rnacentral:rRNA from 1 species
CCUACGGGGUGCAGCAGUCGAGAAUUAUUCACAAUGGGGGAAACCCUGAUGGUGCGACGCCGCGUGGGGGAAUGAAGGUCUUCGGAUUGUAAACCCCUGUCAUGUGGGAGCAAAUUAAAAAGAUAGUACCACAAGAGGAAGAGACGGCUAACUCUGUGCCAGCAGCCGCGGUAAUACAGAGGUCUCAAGCGUUGUUCGGAAUCACUGGGCGUAAAGCGUGCGUAGGCUGUUUCGUAAGUCGUGUGUGAAAGGCGCGGACUCAACCCGCGGACGGCACAAGAUACUGCGAGAAUAGAGUAAUGGAGGGGGAACCGGAAUUCUCGGUGUAGCAGUGAAAUGCGUAGAUAUCGAGAGGAACACUCGUGGCGAAGGCGGGUUCCUGGACAUUAACUGACGCUGAGGCACGAAGGCCAGGGGAGCGAAAGGGAUUAGAUACCCCAGUAGUC